rnacentral:rRNA from 1 species
GACGAACCGUACGAACGUUAUUCGGAAUCACUGGGCUUAAAGGGUGCGUAGGCGGCGCAGUAAGUUGGGUGUGAAAUCCCUCGCUUAACCGAGGAAUUGCGCCCAAAACUACUGUGCUCGAGGGAGGUAGAGGUGAGCGGAACUUAGGGUGGAGCGGUGAAAAUGCGUUGAUAUCCUAAGGAACACCGGUGGCGAAAGCGGCUCACUGGACCUCUUCUGACGCUGAGGCACGAAAGCUAGGGUAGCAAACGGG